AAAAAAGGAUAUUAUACCUUGCUCCAGAUUGUGAAAAGUAAAAGUAAGUAAACAGAAAAGAGAAGGAAGUAUGAUUUAAUUUAGAAAAAUGCUUUGUGUUAUAGCAGACCUUAAGUGUUCAUUGAGUGGUCCAAGUUGUUAAGUAGGCUAGGAGAAGUCAGAAUCCCCAGUGUGCUUUGGAUCUUCUGAGGAUUUUGUAAUUAUUAAGAUCAUCUUUUUUAAGAUUAAGAUUUAUUUAUAUUGUUUGUUACAUUAAAAUACCCAGCUAACUCUCCUGUCCCAUUAAAAAGCCAUCAUCUGACAAAAUAAGAUCCCAAUGGAUACCUGACCUAGGCAUAAAGGGAGAUAUCAUUAACAAGUAAGAACAGGAAACAUUACCUCUCGGAUUUAUGAACAGAGAGGAAUUUAUAAAUAAACAAGAGACAGGAAGCACUGUGAGAUGUAAAAUGGAUAAUUUUGAAUACAGUAAAUUUAAAAGGUUUUGUACAAAUAAAACCAAGGUCAUAGUGGAUUUUUGAGAGUUUGUCCUACACACUUCUUUAUAUAUUGGGAUUAGAGAUCAAGCAGGUAAAAGGAAGUGAAAAUAAUUUUUUUUAGGAAAAUUCGAAUUUCCUUAAAAUAAGCAAAGAAAAGGAAACAGGAGUAAGGGAAUUCAAAGCUAUACCUUCUCCCCACACCAUACCUCAUUCGUCACCCUCAGGCAACUAAGAGUAGGGACAAUGUUCUUUGGGUGGUUUCAAAGGAAAUACAAAUUAUUAUCAUUGUUAUUAUAGGUAAAUGAAUGAAAAGGGGUCACUGGAUUGGAAUUACAUUUGGGAAGAUUCCAAGUCUAGCUGCAGCAUUUUUGUCAAUGCAUUUGGCUGCCUGUGAUUCUUGCCUGGAAUUGACAUCAGAUUCAGAAUUUCAGCAGAAAAUGAUAUCUACCAAUGAGCUGGACCAGGAAGCAGAGCUGCAAGAGAAAAUGUUCUCAGAUCAACCUAUUGAAGAUAGGAGAUAGCAAUUGGAGAUUUCCUCAGCAAUCAAGAUACCCAGAUGAAAUAUCUAAAUUCUGAUAUAGUGGCUUGAUGACCUGAUCAAAGGAAAUGUGUUUCACUUCUUCUGCAUGCAUCUUGUUUUUUUUUUAAUUUAUUUAUUUAUUUUUUUUGUUAGGUCCAAUCGACUAAAUGGACUGCCCUCAAUGAUUAUAGUCAGUGUUUGAAAUGGUCAAUAAAAUUGUGUGUGAUUAUCA
rnacentral:lncRNA from 1 species